CCUCUUUUAAGCUCCCCCUGCACGCUGGCCAGCACUUUCAGGCUGGGAGGGAAGUGCGGUGUGGUGAGCAGGUUCGUGGCCCUUGAAGGUAUCUGCUUCAUCUUCAAAAUGUCAGUGUGAGAAGACUAAGAUGGACAGCGAGGAAGAGGAAGUAAACAGCAUUGAGAUGCAUUAUGUCCACGUACCAACUCC
rnacentral:lncRNA from 1 species